GGAAAUAUUUAAAAAUAAAGGCUCUGGUGCCAGCAAUGCAGUGCCCCGAGGGGGUUAGGGGAGAGCCCCCUCAGUUGGAGGUAAUGAAACUGGUCAGUUACCAACUUUGAAGUCGACCCAAAAAAGGACUUAUUAUAAUAAGUUUUCUAAACUGACGGCUGGCCAGUUGGGAAGAAGUCUGGCUUCAUGCUUUUCAAUAUAUUUGUCAGUUUUAUAUGCACUAGGGAAGAUAUGUUAGACCCUCAAAUGUCAGAGAAUGUUGUUAAGUACAGUUAAGCCUAAGGUGGGCGUGGCAAGGCUUUAUAUCAGCAAGACAAGCCGAGACUUACGUUCAUUCCCAUGGCUGUAGUUUCGUACUUAUGCAAAUGUUUUGGUUGAUUUGUAGUGUCUUGUGAAACAUUGCGUGAGAACCUGUAUCCUUAAACCACCAGAAUUUCGUCCUGAAGUAUAUUGGCCCACCCACAAAAAAUGUCCAAAGUCCAGUUCCUCUACGGAUGACACUUAAUGAUAUCUACAGGUGUAAACGUACACUUUGGCAUUCGGUUUUCCGUUUAAUUGAGAUUUCUAGUCUUGUAGAGUUCUUCUCACGUCUUCUUAUUAGAAAAUGAAUGUAUAUGUACACCUAAUAGAAAACAGGAAAACAAAUAAUGAAAGAUGGUGACGAAGAUAAAUAUAUAUCUCAAUUGUAUUAGCCAUUUUGGCCUUGACUUAGUACCAGACAGAAUCAUUGACUUUGAGAGCUGAGAAUAUUAUUUCACUUCUAAAUAUCGAUUGAUAAAGUUAUGAAUAAUUUGUUAAGGAAAUUUACGAUUUUUAUACUACAUUUCUCAAUCUGUUUUCUGUUUGGUCUAAGAUUUCUUGUAAGAUUUUCUCCCACAUCAUCUUACAGAAUAUGCGUUGUGUUAAGUUUCGUAAAAGGCUAUUAUCAUUAGGUUCUGUUAUUUCAAAUACCAUUUCCUGGCCUAAUUUAUGGAAAUUUGUUAUUGUGAUAGGAAAAAAAUUCCAACUUCCUGAGCAUUAUUUACCAAGAUGAGAGAAGAAUUGUAUUUAUUGUGUCACUGGAAGUUUUUAUUACUUUACAUGAAUUUUUUUUUCUACAAGGUUAUUUUUAAGUGUAUUCGGUGUCAUUCAUGCCCUCCAGGUGUCUAAAAACGUGUGCUGUAAAGUUUUUAAACUCUUUUUAUAACGUUAAAAGUCGUCUUGAAAGAUCAAAACUAAUUCUAGGAGAUAUAAAGUUCCAAGAUACAAAAGUUAAAAGUUUUCUUAUAUGUAAAGUAAGUCUACUCAAGACAUAAAGUUAAGUUAUGCUAAAAGCCUUUAAAGUAAGUCUUGAAGAACAUUUUGAAAGUUAAAACUCAUCCUGUUGGCCACGUUUAUGACAAAACUUUUGAUUAUAUGUCGGACACAUAACGUCGUUCCAAAAGGUGGCACCAGCUUGGGGCUCAAACGCCUUCUCGUCUUAGUCUUGGCAUUUCAUUCGUGUAAUUGAAAUAAAGGAGGGCUAAAAUACCACGAUGGCCAUGUUUGAAAGUCUGCGUGAGAAACCUUAGCAAAUUCCAUAAUAUCGUCAGUUAAUUAGAUAAAGUCUCUGGUGUGUGUGUGAGUGUAAAUCUUAGAGGACUGUUAAUUGAAGCCUUUGCAGAAAGGUUAAUGUGUAAUGAUGUGACUUUUGAUAUGCCAGAAAGGUUAUUAAAGGCCUAGUACUUUCACCAAAUACCUCACCAUUAAGUCAUGCUAAGAUUUUGAGGCUGUGAGGGAUAAUAAGAUUAAAAACAAAAGGUUUUCCCUGUCAUUUAAUUAGAUGAGGAAACUGUUCUUAGGUUACCUUUCCGAUGAAAGGCUUAAUGUAUAUAGAAAGUAAUCUCAUGAAUAGUUUGGUAAUAAGGUUCAAAAUUAUAAUUUCUUUACAGAAACUGCAGCACAUUUUAAUGCAUAUUUUUUAAUUGUUGACGUCACUUUGUAAUGGUUUAGUGGUUUCAGUUGCUGACAGGUUUCCUCAUAAAUUUUCUAGACAGCGAAAAUGUUGUUGGCUCGUAGAAUUGGAGAUGCAUGUCCCAGAUGUGAGGACCUUGAGUACAGGUGGUGUAGUCCAUGUCUGGGUCAUUUUAUUGCUCAGAAAUAUUAGAUACGAGAUUUUAUUUUGGUGCUUUGUGGAUAUUUAGAUAUAUAACUGGGGUAGCUUUGUACAUUGCUCCAAAAUUGAUCUUGGCAGGCUUGGCUGAGUCAUGGUAUAUCUUUGAGAAGUCAUUAAAAAAUCAGCAGAUUUUACAUUUAAUGUACCUGGUCUUGGGUGACUUAAUGCACUGGUCUCGAUGCAUGUUAGAAAUGUCUUUGGUUUUAUAUUGAUGCAUGACUUAACAUUUCUAAAUGUUCAGUAGAUUUGUGUAGAGGUUUUCAGAGUGUUGAUAGCAGUGUGUUAAGUUUCAUCUUUACUACACAAAAAAUGUAGAAUCGUCAGCCUAGUGCGGUAGUGGAAUCUUCUCAUCUCCAGAUGUUUUAGGCAGGAGCAAAUUCAUUCCUGCUCUCUGUUGACGUCUCCCGAAUAUCAAGUGUAACAUUUCUCUCUCUCUCUCUCUCUUCUCUCUCUCUCUCUCUCUCUCUCUCUCUCUCUCUCUCUCUCUCUCGGGCAAUAAUGUUGGAAAGUUAAAUACUGUUUGUAAUAGCCUGUGUAUCGUCAGGAUAUGUUUGCUGGUGUUAGAAAUAAGUUCAGGAUUCAGGAAAAAUUAUGCAGGUUCAAGAUCAGUUAGGAUUCAGGAAGUCUUUGCUCCUGGUAGAUUUGGAGCCAAAGUCUAUUAGUCUGUGGUACUUUUCAUAUUUCUUGCCUUUUAGAAAGUGUUUGUGCUCUCACAGUUGAUUUUUAGAAAGUGUGUUAGUCUGUGGUACUUUCACAUUUCUUGAUUCAUACAAAGUCUGUUAGUCUGUGGUACUUUGUUAUUUCACUGCCAGAAGUUUUGGGAAGUUUUUUGUGACACUUGCUUUCGGGAAGUUUGUCCUGGUGUUAUACUUUCACUUUAAGGAAAUUGAUCUCUGAAAAUUAGUCCGAGAAAGUCUGAUUCUUCUUGAUAAUCUACUUUCAGGAGUGUUUUUUAUAUUUUUUUUUUUUGCAUUUAGAUGGUCUCUUGGUUUGUAAUAAUUUCAGGUUUAGAUUGUAUACACAGUAGCUUGUGAGACACUCUCUAAAGUGAUUUUGUUAGUUGUGGCAUAUUUCUGUUUGAAGUGCUUGUGUGUUGCUUUUUACUUCCAUGUAGGCUGUUAGUCUGUGGGGCUUUUCCUUCAGGAAGUCUGUUAACCUUUAUGGUUUUCCAUUCACAGAAUCUGUUAAUUUUGAUGCUAUGACUUUCAAGAUGUCUGCAUUUGUGGAUCUUUGCAUAAAAAGUCUGUUAUAUUUUCUGUUCCUUUGUGAUUCUUAUUGGUAGUCAGUUAGUUGAUAUUGUUUUCUUAUUCUUAGAAGUCUUGCUAGUCUGUAUCUUAUGCAGAAAGUCUGUUAGCUUGGGUUUUUAUAGCUAGAAACUUUGGUAAUUUGUGACUCUUUAUGACAAGAAAGUCUGUUUGAGAGUGUCUGGGCUGUAAAGUCUGUUAUUUUGUCUUGAGUUCUUUCCUAGAAAGCCUGUGCCAAGAAGCAUACAUCCUGGCUUGGGAGAUUGGAAAAUCUGUUGGUGUGAGCGUUAUUCUUAACUUCAUUAGUCACUUGCUUAGAAUGUCUAAUCAUAUCUUUGAAUUUUAUGCUCAGGAAGUUUUGUCUCCAAAAAGUGGGCCAUUUUGAUAGUUUUAUGCCUGCCAAGGGUACUAUCUGUUUGGUAGAGGUAUUUCCUAAAAUGUUUAUAUAUCUUUGGAGGAGGCCAUUAGUUUUAACCUACGAAUUUGGGGAGGUUUUUUCUUGGAAAAUGUUAAUUGCAGGUGAUUUCUGUCCACCGAGUUGGGUCUUGAAAUUUUUGGUGCUUGGAAAGUGUUUAAGUUUGAUGUAUAUUUUUUAAUUUGUUUGCCGAGAAGGAGAGUUAGUUUGGGCGAUUUUAUUUUUAGUGUGUGUGUGUGUGUGUGUGUGUGAGAGAGAGAGGAAAGUCUGGUGAUUCAGGGAGAUUUUUGUUUUGACUGGAAAUGGCCUGAUUGUGGUUUUUUUAUGCCUGAAAAAUCUGUUGGUCUACCAGUUUUCCAAGUGUCAAUUUGCUUUUUAUCCUUGCUAAAGGAAGUCUUCUUGGCAAGUUAUUUUCCUGUUAAAGCUUUCAUUCAUUGGUCUAAAAAGUUUGUUGUGAGGGAAGAAUUUUUUUUUUUAUAGCCCUGCCAAGUUUGUCAACUCAAGACCCAGAGUUGAUUUUGCCCAGAAAGUGGAGUUUGUAGGCCUACUAAGUUUGUCAGUUUGGUAGCCAGAGUUGAAUCUGCCCUGAAAGUAGUGUUUAUAGCCCUGCAGAGAUUGUCAACUCAGGACAUAGAGUUGAUUCUGCCCAGAAUGUGGUAUUUUUAGGCCUGCCUAGUUUGUCAGUUAGGGAGCAGAGUUGAUAUCAUCUGUCCAGGAAGCGGAAACUUGUCUAAAAAGCUUGUGAUUUAUAUAAUUUCACAGUGCUUCAGCUUUUUGCCUAUAGAAGUCUCUUGUUUUAUCUAGAGCGCGCUUUUUGUAUAGACAGAGUCAGCUGGAUUGAGAUCUUUGGCUACAAAGUAUAUCAGAUGGGAGAGUUUUUUAUAUGUAUAUACCAAGUGUAGUUUUUUUAGGCACAGAAGCCAUCAGGUAAAAGUGUUUUUUGCCUAAUAAUACUCACGAAAAUAGACAUUUAGUAUUCUCUUGAAACUUCUGGAUGUAAAAGAUGACCUAAUUCGCCAAGGAUAAGAUAAAAGACUAAGAUUUAGUGGGUUCUAAAAGCUGACAAAAAAAUAGUCAUAGAAACUUUUAGGUCUGGUAUUAGCACAUUAAAGGCAGAUCUUGAGGCAUAAUGCAUAAAUUACAAAAAGUAAACUUUCCAUGAAGCUUUUCCUAACUAGUCCUCAUUAGGUGUGACCGUGGCAAUGAUAGAUCUUCCAUAAUAGUCCAAGAGGAAACAGCAAUGGCAAUUAUUCUGUAGCUCUGGACUGACGAUCAAUACAAAGUUGUAAUUCUUGGUACCUUGUAGCCUUGUUCUAGUAUGUGAAACGAUUUUAUGUGCAAUAUUAAACAGCAGUUUUCAUUUUUAUGGCAUUUUUAGUCACGUGGCUUUGUUCUGAUAAGCUUAACGAAGUUAUUUUUAUUGUUAGUAAUUUGGUGAGAUAUAUGAAACGAAUUCUUUUUUGUUGUCCUGUUCUGGUGGUCAAUAGAAAACUGGUCUUCCUACUCUUGUUAAACCUGGAAACUGCAAGAUUUGAGAUGAACUCCUUGCUUCAAAACACCAGGAGAAAUGUUCCAAUCAAAUCCUGGACAUUCUUCCAUAAUUACCUGAACAUUUGCUCCAUAAUUAAGAGUUUAUGAAGCAGAUUAUCCCCUAAUAAGGCCGUGGGAUGAUUAUUUCUCUAAUUAGGGUUUUACCUCUUCAAGAGGAUGAUUUCUUGACCAAAUUCCGUAUUAUUGAAAGGUUUAUUUUACCAAAUUACCUGUUAGUGAGCCUGUGUUCUGCCCUUGAUUACAUACUUACCAGUUUGGUCUAGUCCUAUCCCUAAUUACUAGUUAGGUAGGUCUAAUCCUAUCCCUAAAUAUUAGUUAUAUCUAAUCCUAUCCCAAGUUCCAUAUUAUUGAAAGGUUAUUCUACCAAAUUACUUGUAAAUGAACCUGUUUAGUCCUUGAUUGCAUCAUUACUAAUUAGACCUAGUCCUAUCUCUAAUUAUUCUGGCAAUGGAAUGAAUUUUGGUAAGACGUAUCACACAGAACCUAAAAUUUUGACCCGGUGGUCCACGUGUACGGUGAAGGUUGACGUUAGUCCGACCUGCUGCCCUGCUGGGGGAGGAAGAACUCAGGGCAGGAGGACAUUAGCUUUGCACGUCUCUUGCCAUUUACCCGACUCAAUCACUUACAUUGAAUGGUGUCUUUAGGCCUAUGAGACGAAUUGGUGGCAUUUUUGGGAAGGGGGGAGUGCCUCAAGGCGCGCUUGUUCCACCCUGAAGGAUACGGGUCACUUGUCUGCUUUCGGAGAGAUUGUAUGUGUCUUGGUGUAAUUAAUUGCUUUCGUUGUAAAAGAAGACAAUAGGAUGACUUGUAAUUUGAAGUAAAAUACCUAAAUAAUUAAACAUUGCAUCAUUAAAUUCACAUGGAAAGGUUAUUAGCCAGGCAAAGGUUAUUUGAAUGAACGAAAACUAAUGAUAAAAAUAAAUAUUGAAAAUUGGGUAAUUUCAGUGUUCAGUAACAGUUAAAUGAGAUUUACUUGAAAAAUAUUGAAUUAAUUUGAAAUGACAUGUAUAGAGCAUUUCUAUUUCGGAUAGGAGCUUAUAUUCUGAUAUAUUUAAGAUUUUUGACGUCAGAUUUGUCAUCAAAAUGGUGAUAUUUGUGGUAAAUUGAAGUCUAUCUUGUUUAUAAUCAUGACCAGACUUCAUUUUGGACGCAAUUAUUGACAUUUUGAAAAUAUGACAGGUUAACAAGCUGUGUGAGACUUUAAAUGCACUAAAUUUUCUCUAUUAAAAAGAAUAAGUUUUUUAUAUGUAAGAACCUCUGAAAAUGAGGUUGAAUUAGCCUUAUCAAUCAAUAAAUUAGAAGUAAAAUAAUAUUUCCAGCUCUCAAAGUCAGGGAUUCCGUCAGAUGAUAUGUAUCGAAAGAUAAAGGGUGUCCAUAAAAUCCCAGUACCAUUACAAGUAUUUAUUGUACAGAAUAGUACUGGGACUUUAUGGACACCUUGCAUAUUUUAUCUGUCACUGUCUUUAAUUAUUCGUUCUCCUGUUUUCUAUGAGGUGUAAGAGGUUUACUAUAAAAAAAAAAACUCAUUUUCUAAUAAGAAAACGUUGGAGAAACUCUUAACCCUUCUGCACUGUUAGGGGUCUUUUUGACCCGAAAACAAUUUUACAUUAGCAUAUCUCUCUUGUUUUUAGAGAUUGAAGCUUCAUACUCCUUGACUUUUCCUGACUUUAGGGGGUUAUUAUGAUGCCUAAGUCUGGUAAAAUUUUUCCUAGUAGUUAGUGAGCAGCAAAAAAAGUAACAUCUAAUCUGUUUGGCUCAAAAUGACUCGUACCUAGUUUUUUGCUAUAUUUAUUCCAAAUUUUUCACAAACUGCAUCAAAGAUGGUAUGAUUAUUAGUGAAAAAGAAGAAAAGAAACCUGACAUAAUUGAAUUUAUAAUUUAACUAAAGGAGUUGAUAAUUUAGACAAACUUGUUGUGACUUAUAGGUCAAAGAGCCAGACAAAAAGAUGGCCUAUGGCCUUGUUUGAUAACAUUGUGGAUGUGUCUCCCUACAAUGCUUUUGUCCUUUGGAAUAUAUCCAACCUGUAUUGUCUUCAAGGUUAUCAUUACCUAAGACGCCAAAUGCCCGACGAGUUGCUGAAACUGCAAGACCAUCUAUAGAAUAUGAUAAUUCUCAGUCUCAGGAAAGAGCUGCAAAGAGACAGCGUUGUCAUAUGUGUAAAAAUGACAACAAAGUAACUACAAUUUGUACGGUCUGCCAAAAACUACAUGUAAGCGGCAUGCUGUUGUAACGUUCUAGUGUAAUAAUUGCAACUAAUUCCUAAUCUUCAUUAAGGUAGGGUGGUUGGGAGGGUUAGGUGUGGGGUCUGAAUGACAGUCACUUCCACGUAGUAGACCCUGGGCAUGCAAGGUAAUCAAUUAUGUACUUUGUAUGGCAGAGAACUGUCAGAAUUUAUGAGAGGGGUCAUUUUGACCCGGAACAGAUUAGAUGGUACAAUGCUGAUGAAUUACUGCAGUUGUAAGCUGACUAUAAAUACUAACCAUUCUAAAUCUCACGAAAGGUAUGCAAAAAGAUGGCAAUGUUAUACGUGCAAAAAUUAUAGCAAAGUAACAGCAAUUUGCCAAAAAACUACAUGUAAGCACCAUGGUGUCACAAUAUUCAACUGCAAUAAUUUCAACUAAAAGCUAUUCUUCAAUAAAAUAGGGUGCUAAGAGUGAUAGAAUUGAAGUCUGAAUGAUAACUUUCUUGCAGUGUACCCUCGACAAGCAAAGUAAUAAAAAAAGUAGUUUGUAUGGCAAGGAAUUGUCUAAAUUUAUAAGACGGGGUCAUUUUGACCCGAAACAGAUUAGAUGUUACAAAAUUUUAACAGACCACAAGGGUUAAAAGACUAGAAAUCUCGACUGAAACGGAAAACGUAAUGUCAAAAUAUACAUUUUACACGAGUCAUCCAAAGAGAAGUGGACUUUGAAAAUAUUUUGGGGUGGGCCAUUAUACUUCAGGACGAAAAUCUGGCGGUUUAAGUAUAAGGGAAUUUCACGCCUUGUUUCAUAAGACACCAAAAUCUACCAAAAAUUUGCCUAAGUACGAAACUACAGCCAUGAGAGUGAACGUAAGCCUUGCCACGCCCACCUUGAGGUUAACUGUACUUAAACGCCAUUCUCUGACAUUUGGGCGGUCUAUAUAUCGUUCCUAUUGGCAUAGAAGACUGGCAGACAUCUUGGAAAGCAUGAAGGUAGUAUAUACGAGACUUCUUCCCAAUUGGCCAGCCGCCAGUUUAGAAAACUUAUUAUAGUAAGCCCUUUUUUGGGUCGACUUCAACGCUGGUAACCGACUGGUUUCAUCACCUCGAGAGGGGGCUCUCCCCCUCCCCGAGCCACUGCAGUGUUGGCAGAGUAAAUUUUUUUUUUUUUUUUAAAUUAACACUUAUCAUCAGUAAUCUAACGUUAUAUGAAUUUAUUUUCAUGGGUUUAAAUAAAAGAAUGUCCGAUUAUAUAA